rnacentral:rRNA from 1 species
UGGGGAAUUUUGGACAAUGGGGGAAACCCUGAUCCAGCCAUCCCGCGUGUGCGAUGAAGGCCUUCGGGUUGUAAAGCACUUUUGGCAGGAAAGAAACGUCAUGGGUUAAUACCCCGUGAAACUGACGGUACCUGCAGAAUAAGCACCGGCUAACAACGUGCCAGCAGCCGCGGUAAUACGUAGGGUGCAAGCGUUAAUCGGAAUUACUGGGCGUAAAGCGUGCGCAGGCGGUUCGGAAAGAAAGAUGUGAAAUCCCAGAGCUUAACUUUGGAACUGCAUUUUUAACUACCGGGCUAGAGUGUGUCAGAGGGAGGUGGAAUUCCGCGUGUAGCAGUGAAAUGCGUAGAUAUGCGGAGGAACACCGAUGGCGAAGGCAGCCUCCUGGGAUAACACUGACGCUCAUGCACGAAAGCGUGGGGAGCAAACA